rnacentral:rRNA from 1 species
UCGGAAUCGCUAGUAAUCGCAGGUCAGAAUACUGCGGUGAAUACGUUCCCGGGCCUUGUACACACCGCCCGUCACACCAUGGGAGUGGGAUGCAAAAGAAGUAGUUAGUUUAACCUUCGGGAGAACGAUUACCACUUUGUGUUUCAUGACUGGGGUGAAGUCGUAACAAGGUAACCCUAGGGGAACCUGGGGU